rnacentral:lncRNA from 1 species
AUUAUAUUGCACACAUAAUCAUGGCUUUGAAAUCACCCCUAGCCAAGAGGGGUUUAGCCACUCAUAUUCACAACAAAACAGAAGAAAAUGAAUUUAAACAUUGGAAACAAAAGAAAGAAAACACCUAAACACUCCAACAAUCCAAGUUGGACAGCAAGCAGGUCCAAGCACUUUCCUUCCCUUCCUUUGCUACGGCACAAGGUGUUGGUAAGUGUUUGAAGGUUUGUUUGUAUGGAGGAAUGGAUGUGAAAAUGAAUGGAUGUGUUUGGAUGAAGGUUGUAUUGAAUGCGGCAAUGAGUGGAGAAUUGUGUAGAUGAUGUGUGUGUGUUUUGGAUGGAUUUUUUCUCUCCAUGGUGAAGGGUGGAUGGAUGUAUUUAUAGGCUAGGGAGAGGAUGUAGUGGGUGGUGGUAAUGAGUGGAUGUAG